ACGAACGCUGGCUGUCCUGCCUAACACAUGCAAGUCGAACGCGGGGAUGAGGGUUCGCCCUUGUCUCUGAGUGGCGCACGGGUGAGUAGCGCGUGGGAACCUGCCUUGAAGUGGGGGAUAACCGAGGGAAACUUCCGCUAAUACCGCAUGAUCCGGACUUGUCCGGCAAAGAUUUAUCGCUCUAAGAGGGGCCCGCGUCGGAUUAGGUACUUGGUGGGGUAACGGCCUACCACGCCUGUGAUCCGUAGCUGGUCUGACAGGAUGAUCAUCCACUCUGGGACUGAAACACGGCCCACACUCCUACGGGAGGCACCAGCGGG
rnacentral:rRNA from 1 species